UAUUUUAGGCAAACGCUGUAUAAUUUAUUAUAUAGAGGAAAGUCCAUGCUCGCAAAAGCUGAAAUGCUUUUAGUGUUUGUGCUUAAGGAAUAAAUAACUUAAGGUAGAGUAAUCUAACGGCUUAAAAGGAAACCUAAGUCUUUUGAUAUGGUGUCUUUUUUGUAAAGUGCUAUAGUGACGAAUUUAUUAGAAAUAAUAAAAGUGGAACGAAGUAAACCCCACAAGCGAGAAACCCAAAUUAUGGUAGGGGAGUUCUAAUAGGAAAUAAAAACUGAUUUAGAGAUCGAAAGAUAGAUAAAUGUUUGCCACCUUUAAGGUACAGAACAUGGCUUAUUAAA
rfam:Mycoplasma sp. CAG:611_25_7 Ley3_66761_scaffold_12028, whole genome shotgun sequence.